AUACCCCAUAGUGUACUUUCUACAGUGCUCGACCACUGCACCCCCGCGAUUCGGGGAGAAGACGACGACUUCCGCGAUCUCCCCGUACAUGUACACCGCCCCUCCUUGUGUCUAUAAAAGGGGGAGGCGGGCUCUAUCUUAUCCAUCCGGGCAGAACACCACACUCAGCACCACUCACAGAGCACACACACUCUUCUGAGCCCCGAUAUUGGCACUCGCCUCAAUCAACUCCUCCUCUAGCAGAGACCUGAGAGCUUCCCUCCCUCUCUCGCCUCGCUUGUACCUCCUACUACAGGCACCCCCGGUGCAACAUAGUACAGUGCACUCGCACACUCUUUUGCUGGACGUACGGCCGGAACUAGGAUAAACCCGUGUGUGACUGUGUUGCCUCUUGCAUCAAUCAUUUAGGACUAGAGACACGCAACAUCAUCACAAGUUGGUGCCGGACCACCAGGUCAGGACACCGACACAACUAGAUUUCGUUAGAGGCAUCAUUUCUUUCUCCAAGAUGCAACAGGUUUGUUUACUUACCUUUUUCAGUUAAAGAGGAGGGUGGACACCUGCUAUGAUGGCCUGUUGCAGCUGAGGCCUUUUUCAGCAGAGGUCAUACCUGAUGACAGGAGUAACCAGAAAUUAGCUCUUGUUGCUAAGACACGCGCGCAUGUACCACCAUGCUCACAAUUAGAUUAUGACAUUGCACGUGUGCUGUGGUCAAAUAGGUAAACAAAUUUCAGAAACUUUUCUAAGUCAAAUAUGAAUUUUCUUAACCUUUCCUUCAACUUUCAGCGGUACCUAAACCCUGCUUAAAACUUUCUGCUGCCAUGAACGAUUGGAACAUUUAUACUCCAAGCAUGUGCUGGAAAAGCUUGAUUCGCCGGGAGAACAUCGUGUACUUGACAUUCAUAAUCAUUUUACAUCUAAAAAAUAUUUUUUUAAAUGCUUCGCACCGACAGGACAUAUGGAUUCAUUUGCACUAUACGCUCAGUGUAUGUUGUGGAAUCAUCAAUGGAAGGCUGACAAUAAACAAUACAUUAUUCUUUCGGAAGGGAAUGUGAACCAUUUGAAAUUAAACAAGACUGGCAUCCUGAGCAAAGAACUCGCUGGAAAUAUAGAGGGCACCAGGCUGAUUUUUGUGCCUAUCCAAGAUAAUAAACAUUGGUCCUGCUGGUGAUAGACCUUGAGCAAAAAAUGUGGUCUGGUACUGAACUCCAAGCCACAAGUUAGUGUAUAUUAUUGCGCAUCAGAUGUGUUUGAAGUAGUGUGCGGUUAUUUGCUGAAGAUGAGUGUAGACACAUCUAUCUGGCCAUUAUCAUUUAUGCGUGGUCUUGCUGAUCAAGCGAACGACUUUGAUUGCGGGGUCCAUGUGCUGAUGUGCAUUGAAGGUUUUGAAAGAAAGGAAAUAUAUGGUUAUGAUAAGGAAAUGGUUUUGCUGUACUGGAAGAAAGCUGCAGUUGGGCUCAUCUACAACGAAGCAAAUAAGGCCCAGCUUGGACGAUCAUGUCUUGCAGUUCUUCUGGCUUCAUCUUCUUGCACGAUUAUGUCUUGUUUCUCGGGCAUAACCAAUCACUUUGUUUCCAUGGUAAGGAAUAUCCGCAGGUGAAACCAAAUCAUGUCUAUCUCACUGAUGGCUCUAAGUCAGCAUCUAUGAAGUGCAAGUUGCUUUGCCGCCUUGUUGUUGGCAUCCUCGACUUAGAGACCAAGAUCAUGGAUGAAAUUGUAUUUCCCCGGGAAUGGUCCAACAGCAUGGCUCCUUUGCUGAUCAUACCGAACCCCGGAAAGAUGGCUUGCAUUUCAUAGUAUUGUACCUCUUCCGGUUUGAACAAUUGUUUGGUAAUGUCUUCUUUGUAUUGUGAGAACCGACUAGUUGGUUGUUGCAUAAAUUGCUAUUUGAACUGAGUACCCCUUGGCAGCCAUGUCCUUGCUGCACACGCCGCAUUCCUGUGGGACACAGAACGCCAACAGGCCUAGGAGCUUGGCUAUGCGGGGUUCGCGCGCUCCAGCUCUCGUUUCUGGCUUCGGCAACCUGAAGUCCUGAACUGCCUGUGUCAUCUCCGAAUCACUGAAUGAAGCUAGCAUGAUAGUAGUCCUUGUGUUUGUUUCAGUAGCUUACUUAUUAUAUAGUCAACAUAGGCUGGUGCGGCCUGUCUGUACUUGUUUAGCUUCAACAAUGUGCAAGCAGAUCUCAGGUUU